GUGACGGGAACUGUGGCGUGAASAACKCUCUUACCGGUUCGGUUGGUGUGCGUAAGUUCUCCUGAGUGAGGCUCCAUCCCAGGGAGGGUGCAAGGCCCGUAUCGCGCGCAACUGGUACCGGUGUAAGUGUUCGGAGAGUCGCCUUGUUUGUGAGUACAAGGUGAAGUCGGUGGUAAACUCCAUCGAAGGCUAAAUAUGACCACGAGUCCGAUAGCGAACAAGUACCGUGAGGGAAAAUUGAAAAGCACUUUGAAGAGAGAGCGAAACAGUGCGUGAAACCGCUCAGAGGCAAGCAGAUGGGGCCUCGAAGGCAAAGCAGCGAAUUCAGCUGGUGGUCUGCGUGGCCGGCCGGUUUAGAGAUCUUAACGACUCUUGCCGGUUGCGUUCUGCGUAGGUGCCAGUGCACUUUCGUUGCUUGUACGCCACUGCCGUUGAGUGAGCAUCCGUCGGGUUGACAURUGAAGCCUUACUCCUUUACGGGCGUAGGUGCUUACAGUUGACUUCUGUACGCGUUUGCACCUCAACCGGUCAUGUCAGCAUGUGCCAGCGUUGCGUUGGGCCGGUGCGCUCGUCGGUGUCGGGGAUGCGAGCUUCUCGGUCCUCGCGUCAGGGAAUCGU
rnacentral:rRNA from 1 species